GUGGAUUAGAUACCCUGGUAGUCCACGCUGUAAACGAUGUCAACUAGCCGUUGGUCCUAUUUACAGGAUUAGUGGCGCAGCUAACGCAUUAAGUUGACCGCCUGGGGAGUACGGCCGCAAGGUUAAAACUCAAAUGAAUUGACGGGGGCCCGCACAAGCGGUGGAGCAUGUGGUUUAAUUCGAUGCAACGCGAAGAACCUUACCUACCCUUGACAUCCAGAGAAUCUGUUAGAGAUAGUAGAGUGCCUUCGGGAACUCUGAGACAGGUGCUGCACGGUUGUCGUCAACU
rnacentral:rRNA from 1 species